AGCGAACGCUGGCGGCAGGCCUAACACAUGCAAGUCGAACGAACCUUUCGGGGUUAGUGGCGGACGGGUGAGUAACACGUGGGAACGUGCCUUUAGGUUCGGUAUACCUCAGGGAAACUUGUGCUAAUACCGAAUGUGCCCUUCGGGGGAAAGAUUUAUCGCCUUUAGAGCGGCCCGCGUCUGAUUAGCUAGUUGGUUAGGGUCAUGGCUCACCAAGGCGACGAUCAGUAGCUGGGCUGAGAGGAUGAUCAGCCACAUUGGGACUGAGACACGGCCCAAACUCCUACGGAAGGCAGCAGUGGGGAAUCUUACGCAAUGAGCGAAAGCCUGACGCAGCCAUGCGGCGUGAAUGAUGAAGGUCUUAGGAUUGUAAAAUUCUUUCACCGGGGACGAUAAUGACGGUACCCGGAGAAGAAGCCCCGGCUAACUUCGUG
rnacentral:rRNA from 1 species